CCCUUAGAUGUUCUGGGCUGCACGCGCGCUACACUGAUGCGCUCAACGAGUUUUAACCUUGCCUGGAAAGGUUGGGUAAUCUUUUUAAAACGCACCGUGAUGGGGAUAGAUUAUUGCAAUUAUUAAUCUUCAACGAGGAAUUCCUAGUAAGCGCGAGUCAUCAGCUCGUGCUGAUUACGUCCCUGCCCUUUGUACACACCGCCCGUCGCUCCUACCGAUUGAAUGUUUCGGUGAAGAUUCCGGAUAGGACUUUUUUGAUUUAUUUCAAUUUUGUCUUAAAAGCUAUCUAAACCUCAACAUUUAGAGGAAGGUGAAGUCGUAACA
rnacentral:rRNA from 1 species